rnacentral:rRNA from 1 species
GUGCACCAGGCGCGAAACCUCCGCAAUACACGAGAGUGUGACGGGGCCAUCCCGAGUGCCGUCCGCUGAGGACGGCUUUUCCCCAGUGUACACAGCUGGGGGAAUAAGGAGAGGGCAAGCCUGGUGUCAGCCGCCGCGGUAAUACCAGCUCUCCGAGUGGUGGGGACGCUUAUUGGGCCUAAAGCAUCCGUAGCCGGCUGGGCAAGUCCUCCGUUAAAUCCAACGAUUCAAUCGUUGGGCUGCGGGGGAUACUGUCCAGCUUGGGGGCGGGAGAGGCCGACGGUAUUCCCGGGGUAGGGGUGAAAUCCUAUAAUCCCGGGAGGACCACUAGUGGCGAAGGCUGUCGGCUAGAACGCGCCCGACGGUGAGGGAUGAAAGCUGGGGGAGCGAACCGGAUUAGAUACCC